rnacentral:rRNA from 16 species
AUUCCUUGUCGGGUAAGUUCCGACCUGCACGAAUGGUGUAAUGAUCCGGACGCUGUCUCAACCGUGAGCCCAGUGAAAUUGUAGUAUCGGUGAAGAUGCCGAUUACCCGCGAUGGGACGAAAAGACCCCGUGAACCUUUACUGCAGCUUAGCGCUGCGUUUGGGCACGCGAUGUGUAGGAUAGGCCGGAGGCAUUGACACGGACGCGCCAGCGUCCGCCGAGCCGUCGUUGAAAUACGGCCCUUUGCGUGUCCGGGCGCUAACCCCUUUUCGAGGGGGACACCGCUUGGCGGGCAGUUUGACUGGGGUGGUCGCCUCCAAAAGCGUAACGGAGGCUUCCAAAGGUGCCCUCGGGCCGAUC